rnacentral:rRNA from 1 species
AGCGGUGGAGUAUGUGGCUUAAUUCGAUGCAACGCGAAGAACCUUACCUGGCCUUGACAUGCAAGUAGUAGAAGGAUGAAAAUCUGACGAGCCCGCAAGGGCAGCUUGCACAGGUGCUGCAUGGCUGUCGUCAGCUCGUGUCGUGAGAUGUUGGGUUAAGUCCCGCAACGAGCGCAACCCUUGUGUCCUGUUGCCACCUCUACGAGAGUAGGGAGCACUCUGGACAGACUGCCUCGCUUAAACGAGGAGGAAGGUGGGGAUGACGUCAAGUCAGUAUGG